AGUCGUUGACGUCGCGCAGAGACGACGCUGGCGGCGUGCUUAACACAUGCAAGUCGAACGGGGCACCCUUGAAAGAGAUUUCGGUCAAUGGAUAGGAAUGCGUUAGUGGCGGACGGGUGAGUAACGCGUGAGUAACCUGCCUUUCAGAGGGGGACAACAGUUGGAAACGACUGCUAAUACCGCAUAACAUAUAGGUGCCGCAUGGCACUUAUAUCAAAGAUUUAUCGCUGAGAGAUGGACUCGCGUCUGAUUAGCUAGUUGGUGGGGUAACGGCCCACCAAGGCGACGAUCAGUAGCCGGACUGAGAGGUUGGCCGGCCACAUUGGGACUGAGAUACGGCCCAGACUCCUACGGGAGGCAGCAGUGGGGAAUAUUGGGCAAUGGGCGCAAGCCUGACCCAGCAACGCCGCGUGAAGGAAGAAGGCUUUCGGGUUGCAAACUUCUUUUGACAGGGAAGAGCAGAAGACGGUACCUGUCGAAUAAGCCACGGCUAACUACGUG
rnacentral:rRNA from 1 species